UACGUAGGGUGCAAGCGUUAAUCGGAAUUACUGGGCGUAAAGCGUGCGCAGGCGGUUAUGCAAGACAGAUGUGAAAUCCCCGGGCUCAACCUGGGAACUGCAUUUGUGACUGCAUAGCUGGAGUGCGGCAGAGGGGGAUGGAAUUCCGCGUGUAGCAGUGAAAUGCGUAGAUAUGCGGAGGAACACCGAUGGCGAAGGCAAUCCCCUGGGCCUGCACUGACGCUCAUGCACGAAAGCGUGGGGAGCAAACAGG
rnacentral:rRNA from 1 species